GGGUCAGUAGGUUGGUCGUGCCACCGGUACGUACUGGUCUCACUGAUUCCUCCUUCCUGAAGAGCCGUAAUGCCAUUAAUUUGGUGUGGCGGGGAAACAGGACUGUUACUUUGAAAAAAUUAGAGUGUUUAAAGCAAGCUAACGCUUGAAUACAUUAGCAUGGAAUAAUGAAAUAGGACGAUCGAUCCUAUUUUGUUGGUUUCUAGGAUUGACGUA
rnacentral:rRNA from 1 species